rnacentral:lncRNA from 1 species
UGCAGAAAUAAAAACUCUCUUCCCAGCUCAUCUGCUUCUCCUUACUGGGCCGCGAGAAAUAGCAGCCUAACCCUCAGUUUGGUCUGGGAACAACUGUACUCCAGCCUGGGUGACGGAAUGAGACUGUGUCUCAAAAAUAAACAAACAAAAUAAUAAAUUAAAACUAAUUUUAUUAAUUUUUAUUGUUACUAUUUUAUAGUGUCAUAAAUCACAGUUAACCACAAAUUAUUCUUGUUAGAAAAUACACUUUUUUAUGAAAUUUGGCAGGAAAGUUUUUGUUUACAUGGAGUUCCAUAAAGAGCCCUUGAUGUAGUAAGAACUCAUAAGGCAAGCAGGCAGCUGAGGCCUCCUGAGACAGGAAUGCACAUAGCGCUUGGGCCCUGCAGGCGGAGCGGGCUCGGGGACCUGGCGCAGCGCUCUGUCACUCUGGGAGGGAGGCGCUAGCCCGCCAGGCUGCGGCUGAUGCUGGGGUGCUGCACUAGCGCGAAGGUCAGCUCCAUGCCGGCGAGGCCAGGACGGACUCCAGAGCCUCAGUGUGCUGAGCGCAGGCGCCCCGUACUUGGCGGAGCUGACGCCCCGCUAGACGCAAGGACUCCACAAGGACCCCAGAGCCUGAUCCCUGCGAGGCCCCGGCAUUCCCUGACCUGGCGGGGAAUCCUGGCCCCCGAUGGUCUACGGCAGCCCCCAGCCGGCUACCGGGAUGGCUUGCAGCGCCCGCAGGCUUCUCCAGCCUCCAGAACUGCAGGAGCUGCGGUCCAAGCCAGCUCCUGGGCUCCGGGAGAAACUGAGCGGAGAAACAGUGCUGAAACAUGA